rnacentral:rRNA from 1 species
CCUACGGGUGGCAGCAGUGAGGAAUAUUGGUCAAUGGACGAGAGUCUGAACCAGCCAAGUAGCGUGCAGGAUGACGGCCCUAUGGGUUGUAACCUUCUUUUAUUGGGAAAUAAAAUGUUCCCCGUGUGAUGUUUUGUAGGUACCUUUUGAAUAAGGUCCGGCUACAUCCGUUCCAGCAGCCGAGGUAAUCCGGAGGUUCCGAGCGUUCUCCGGAUUUAUUGGGUUUAAAGGGUGCGUAGGCGGAAUGCCAAGUCAGCGGUAAAAUCGCGGGGCUCAACCUCGCCCCGCCGUUGAAACUGGCGGUCUUGAGUGGGCGAGAAGUAGGCGGAAUGCGUGGUGUAGCGGUGAAAUGCAUAGAUAGCACGCAGAACUCCGAUUGCGAAGGCAGCAUACCGGCGCCCAACUGACGCUGAAGCACGAAAGCGUGGGUAUCGAACAGGAUUAGAUACCCCAGUAGUC